UGUGCCUUUUUUUUUAUUUAGAAAUACCAGAAUUACAAGCAAGCCUAUGUCAGCAAAAAAAAGACAGCAGACAUCCAGCAACAAAAUUCUAGUCUUGUUGUAUCCUCUCAUGUAAACAGAAGAUGAAAGUCUGCCCAGAAGCUCAUUAUGGUGAAGUGAUGUCAGUCAGACAGCAGUAUUUGAUCUGGAAUCACACGAUUCAGAUGAGUAUCUGAGGCCUCACCGAAUAAACCUGUGUCACUUUCAGAAGCAUGCUCUGAAUGCAAAUUGGGAAGUAAACAGCAGUCCCAUGGGUGAAUAGAGUGAUUAAUCUUCUAAAUUGUGUUUGGUGACCUGUGUGUGACACUAAAGAAGCCGUCAGUGUUGUGAAAACACACUAUAUUUUCACCUGACACAACGUGACCUGUUGAAACAUGGUGUCCGUGUCCCUGAUUGCCUUUAGAUGGCCAUAAAACUAAAGCAGCCUGGAGAUUACUGUUUUGAGCGCAGAAUGUGUGCUGAGAAUGUGAAGAAUUGGGAGCGGAGACAGCGAGGGGAAUCCUCCCAAAAGCCUCUGGGAAAGAGCCCUCGAAUGCUCACACUCAUCCGAUGGGCUCCACUAUAAUCCUGUAUCCAGCAAAACAAGGUGUUGUGGCAGUGAUUCUGUGGGGAACCCGAGAAGACACACGCAGCCCUGCCCUCACCUGAUAGAAGCUGC